CCUUGCCAUCCUGCAAUUUAUUAAACAAUGGAAAUGAAAUAAUUAAGAGAAAUUUAAAUCCAAAAAUGAAAAAAAAACAAAAAUAAAAAUAUUUUUGAAGAUGUUGAAGUUAAACAUCUCAAAGAUUAAUAGAUUGUUUGUCUCACUUUACAUGAGCACCCUUGUAGUGCUUCAAGCGUUGUCCAUUAACUUUAACUGUGUCCCCCGUUUUUAUGUCC
rnacentral:lncRNA from 1 species